UCUUUGAUGGUCUAACGGUUAUGAUUUCCGCUUGUCACGCGGGAGACCGGGGUUCGACUCCCCGUCAGAGAG
rnacentral:tRNA from 3 species